rnacentral:rRNA from 1 species
UACGGAGGGAGCUAGCGUUGUUCGGAUAUACUGGGCGUAAAGCGCACGUAGGCGGCGCCGUAAGUCAGGGGUGAAAUCCCGGAGCUCAACUCCGGAACUGCCCUUGAAACUGCAGUGCUAGAAUCCUGGAGAGGCGAGUGGAAUUCCGAGUGUAGAGGUGAAAUUCGUAGAUAUUCGGAAGAACACCAGUGGCGAAGGCGACUUACUGGACACAUAUUGACGCUGAGGUGCGAAAGCGUGGGGAGCAAACAGG